rnacentral:rRNA from 1 species
GUCUACGGACAUACCACCCUGAACGCGCCUUAUCUCGUCUGGUCUUGGAAGCUAAGCAGGGUUGGGCCUGGUUAGUACUUGGAUGGGAGUCUGCCUGGUAAUACUGGGUGCUAUAGGCU